UCGUAUCCAACAACAAAGCUAACACAUUCACAGAGAGAGACACACACACACACAAAAGCUAAAGAGCGAAAAUGGCAGCGACGGCUCUCUCCACCGCAAGCUCAAUCCUUUCCUCAUCAUCUCCCACUCUCACCUCCGCCCACCCCUUCCUCUCCCGACCCACCACACUCGAAUUCCCAUCUCGCUUCGGCCUUUCCUCCUCCUCCUCGACCCUCACCCACCGCGCGACCCACCUCCGCCCCCUCGCCGCCGUCGAAGCCCCGGAGAAAAUUGAGAAAAUCGGAUCCGAGAUCUCGUCCCUCACCCUCGAGGAAGCCCGCAUCCUCGUCGACUACCUCCAGGACAAGUUCGGCGUCUCGCCUCUCUCCUUGGCUCCCGCCGCAGCGGCUGUCGCAGCUCCGGGAGACGGCGGCGGCGCGGCGGCUGUCGUCGAGGAGCAGACGGAGUUCGAUGUGGUGAUUAACGAGGUGCCUAGCAGCUCGCGUAUCGCGGUGAUUAAGGCGGUGAGGGCGUUGACUAGCUUGGCGUUGAAGGAGGCG
rnacentral:lncRNA from 1 species